rnacentral:rRNA from 1 species
CCUACGGGCGGCAGCAGUGGGGAAUAUUGCACAAUGGGGGAAACCCUGAUGCAGCGACGCCGCGUGAGCGAUGAAGUAUUUCGGUAUGUAAAGCUCUAUCAGCAGGGAAGAAGAAAAACGGUACCUGUCUAAGAAGCCCCGGCUAACUACGUGCCAGCAGCCGCGGUAAUACGUAGGGGGCAAGCGUUAUCCGGAUUUACGGGGUGUAAGGGGAGCGUAGGCGGCUGUGCAAGUCUGAGGUGAAAGCCCAGGGCUCAACCCUGGGACUGCUUUGGAGACUGUGGAGCUAGAGUGCUGGAGAGGUAAGUGGAAUUCCUAGUGUAGCGGUGAAAUGCGUAGAUAUUAGGAAGAACACCAGUGGCGAAGGCGGCUUACUGGACAGUAACUGACGUUGAGGCUCGAAAGCGUGGGGAGCAAACAGGAUUAGAUACCCGGGUAGUC